AUGAAACAUCUUAGCUGGAACUGUUGGGGGCUUGGGAACCCCGAGGCAGUUCGUGAGCUUCGCAAAGUUGUGAAGCAGGAAGGGCUCGACCUACUCUUUGUGAUGGAGACGAAGAUUAGGGCGAAGAGAGUGGAAAUUCUUAAGCAUACACUCGGCUUUUCGGGUUGUUUUUCUGUUGAUAGUGCGGGGCACAGUGGUGGCCUCAGUUUGUUCUGGUCAAGUGAUUUAUGUUGA
rnacentral:rRNA from 1 species